GACCCUAUUGCCCAACAUCACAUGCCUUCAGUGCAGGGAUUUGAUCUGAGAUAAGGGAAGAAAGUACCGAAAAAAGACUCCGUCUCCUGAUUCCUUUUGCCGAUCGUUCAGUGUUGAGUCCGCCCACUGGUCAUCUCACAGUCUAUGAGGCAUCUGCAUAGACUGCACAAACCUUCCCCACAUCAAUGAGAGGCAAAAAGCAGGCCUGAGAACAAAGCAGGCCGGAGCCAAAAAAAACCACAUUGUGUUUGGUGCAAUUCAGCUCUGUGUGGGAGGAUGGAUGAAGGCAGCCAGAGGCUACACUAUGACAGAGAGGCAAGCAGGUGGAGGGGGAGGAGACGCUGAUGGGAAAACAGGAGUGUAACACAUCAGUGAAGAUUCAAUGAAAAGCAGACCAGC